rnacentral:rRNA from 1 species
UACGUAGGGUGCGAGCGUUAAUCGGAAUUACUGGGCGUAAAGCGUGCGCAGGCGGUGAUGUAAGACAGGUGUGAAAUCCCCGGGCUUAACCUGGGAACUGCAUUUGUGACUGCAUCGCUGGAGUACGGCAGAGGGGGAUGGAAUUCCGCGUGUAGCAGUGAAAUGCGUAGAUAUGCGGAGGAACACCGAUGGCGAAGGCAAUCCCCUGGGCCUGUACUGACGCUCAUGCACGAAAGCGUGGGGAGCAAACAGG